CUGAGUACUAUGAUUACUUUUCUGUGUUUCUUCACUGUGCCCUGUGGUUGAAAAUCCUCAAACACACAAAGGCAGGAGUAAUCAAAGACAGACUGGAAUAAAACUUUCUGAAGCAUCCUACAUGGAGCUCUAACAUGGAGUUCUGUCAUCCAAAUCACAGUAGGGGGUCCAAACAAGUUUGGAUGGAUAAGAAAGAAGAGAUCACUUCUCAGCCCUGCGGUUGACUGGCGACCAGAGGUGUACCCUGCCUCUCGCUUGUUGUCGCCUGGGUUAAGCUCCAGUUCCCUCACACUAUCCUGACAGAUAGAGCGGUAUAGAAGAUGGAUGGAUGGAUGGAUGGAUUGGGAUCCCUUUUCAUAUCCUCAGAAUAAAACACAGGUAGGAUUCUGAGAAACUGGAUAUCAGAGGUGAGCGUCAGUGACUUGAGCUGGGGACUGAAACCGGAUUUACUGUUAGGAACUACUAGCUACAAAGGCACAGUCUUGUUAGAUUUCACACAUUUUGAAUGAUUCUACGAUACAUAUUCAUUUUUCGGUGAGUAGCUACAACUUAUAAUGUUUUAAUUAAUCAACAUUUACAGAUAGGUAACGCAAAGCCAACAACAGUUGGGAUUCCAAGGCAAAUCCUAGCAAAUGCAACAAAUGCAACUACCUCAUUACCUAAAAUGUCCUAAAAUGACUCCUACAUUGGAGGGUUUAAUCUAUUAAUAGAAAAGGCCUCCUCAGGCCAGAAAGAGGGGUAUUCAACAGAGGAAGUGGAUGGCAUCUCUUCCAGAGGAGCACGUGUACAUGACCAUGUGUGAAUGGGUGUGUGUGUCAAUCAGGAUUUAAUUGACAGGAAGAUUAAAGCUCACAUCUGAGACCCCCCCGUUUUUAAGGAGCCAAGCUGAAGGAGUCUGGUCUCCAGCGUCUGCCCAAAGUUUGGGGUGCUGUGCUCAAGGAUAGUGCAGGCACCCUGCUGAGCGUGCGCUGUCUGAGAUGGGUCCUACUUGUUGGACAUUCAUUAUCAAACUCUGUUUGCUCCUUUCAUCUGCAGCUCUCUGCAGCACUCAACGUAAACUACAGAGGCACCUUGCAGCUUGACAUCUCUCCAUUCACUCUGUACCUUAAACAGCAUGCUGCCACAUCAAAGAGCUGCGGCUCCCUUUGAUGUUGCAAAAAGAAAGAGCUCCAAUGAUCUGCUAAAAACCAAUGCAACUUUCUGGAGCCUUGUUUUAUUCAUUUGGUAUCUCUAGAAGUCUGGAGUCAGUCUCCAGAAGUCCAGACAGCACUUUUGUGAUUUGCAAAAGUUGAACCGUGCGCUUUGAAAAAUAUAGUGAAUGAAGAACUAGUGUAAAGAGAGUCUUCUACUACCUUUUAAACUGCCAUGUUGGGUUUUGCGUUGUCAGCAUUAUAUUUCCUGCAGUGGCUGUCAUAUCUUAUUAGGCUGAAGAGUACUGUCAUUGAGUUUCAGCCAUCAAGUAAAUGGCUAGGCAAACACAGACACUCCUUACUGUUGACUGUGACUGUUUAUAAGAAAAUGGGGCAACACCCACCUUUAUACAGGCUAUCAUAUUAAUGUGUGCAUCAAUGGAUGAAAAUGAAAACCAUUACAUUACAUUACAUAUAUCACGUCACCAAGAACAUUAUGUUAUUGAUAUAAUUUGUAUCUUCUUAUUCGGGCUCUUGGGUACUUGGAGGAUAAAGUUAGUGUUAGUCUUUAUUUUUCUGUAAACAAAUCUCAUAAAAGAGCGAACAGUUUCUCAGUUUCCCUAGUCCCUAGUUUGUUUGUUUGUUUGUUUUAAAAGGCUUAGCAAUUCCCUAAAACAACUGGACACUGCAGUUGCCAAUCAAAUGGUGAAUAAGCUACUCUGUAGGGUUUACAUGUUCGUAAAUCUGAUUGUGAUGAAGUCAGUGCCUCCCCAGCCAUGAACCUCACCGCACGUCACUGCACCAAACAUAUUAUUUAAUGAAAAGGGAGAAAGCAUGAACAAGUUGUUAAAAAGUAUGGACAAAUUUUGGGGGGCUUUAGGAUUUAAAUUGCCCUUAA